rnacentral:rRNA from 1 species
CCCAAGAGAUCGGGAUAACACCUGGAAACAGAUGCUAAUACCGGAUAACAACAGAUGAUGCCUAUCAACUGUUUAAAAGAUGGUUCUGCUAUCACUCUUGGAUGGACCUGCGGUGCAUUAGCUAGUUGGUAGGGUAACGGCCUACCAAGGCGAUGAUGCAUAGNCCGAGUUGAGAGACUGAUCGGCCACAUUGGGACUGAGACACGGCCCAAACUCCUACGGGAGGCAGCAGGC